rnacentral:rRNA from 1 species
UGGGGAAUAUUGGACAAUGGGGGCAACCCUGAUCCAGCCAUUCCGCGUGAGUGAAGAAGGCCUUCGGGUUGUAAAGCUCUUUUGUCCGGAACGAAACGGUUACAGCGAAUACCUGUGACUACUGACGGUACCGGAAGAAUAAGCACCGGCUAACUACGUGCCAGCAGCCGCGGUAAUGCGUAGGGUGCGAGCGUUAAUCGGAAUUACUGGGCGUAAAGUGUGCGCAGGCGGCCGAGCAUGUCGAGUGUGAAAGCCCCGGGCUUAACCUGGGAACUGCGCUCGAAACUACUUGGCUGGAGUGUGGCAGAGGAAGGUGGAAUUCCACGUGUAGCGGUGAAAUGCGUAGAGAUGUGGAGGAACACCGAUGGCGAAGGCAGCCUUCUGGGCCAACACUGACGCUCAUGCACGAAAGCGUGGGGAGCAAA